rnacentral:rRNA from 1 species
CCUACGGGAGGCAGCAGUGAGGAAUAUUGGUCAAUGGGCGGGAGCCUGAACCAGCCAUGCCGCGUGAAGGCGAGUGCCCUACGGGCGUUAAACUUCUUUUGUGCGGGAGCAAUAAGGGCCACGUGUGGCCCGAUGAGAGUACCGCACGAAUAAGCAUCGGCUAACUCCGUGCCAGCAGCCGCGGUAAUACGGGGGAUGCGAGCGUUAUCCGGAUUUAUUGGGUUUAAAGGGUGCGUAGGCGGAUUUUUAAGUCAGCGGUAAAAUGUCCGGGGUCAACCCGGGCCGGCCGUUGAAACUGGGGAUCUUGAGUGGGCGAGAAGUAUGCGGAAUGCGUGGUGUAGCGGUGAAAUGCAUAGAUAUCACGCAGAACUCCGAUUGCGAAGGCAGCAUACCGGCGCCCGACUGACGCUGAGGCACGAAAGCGUGGGGAUCGAACAGGAUUAGAUACCCUGGUAGUC